rnacentral:rRNA from 1 species
AGAGUUUGAUCAUGGCUCAGGACGAACGCUGGCGGCGUGCCUAAUACAUGCAAGUCGAGCGGACCGAAUGAGAGCUUGCUCUUGUUUGGUCAGCGGCGGACGGGUGAGUAACACGUGGGCAACCUGCCCGCAAGACCGGGAUAACUCCGGGAAACCGGAGCUAAUACCGGAUAACACCGAAGACCGCAUGGUCUUCGGUUGAAAGGCGGCCUUUGGCUGUCACUUGCGGAUGGGCCCGCGGCGCAUUAGCUAGUUGGUGAGGUAACGGCUCACCAAGGCGACGAUGCGUAGCCGGCCUGAGAGGGUGACCGGCCACACUGGGACUGAGACACGGCCCAGACUCCUACGGGAGGCAGC